UGACGAGUGGCGGACGGGUGAGUAAUGUCUGGGAAACUGCCUGAUGGAGGGGGAUAACUACUGGAAACGGUAGCUAAUACCGCAUAACGUCGCAAGACCAAAGAGGGGGACCUUCGGGCCUCUUGCCAUCGGAUGUGCCCAGAUGGGAUUAGCUAGUAGGUGGGGUAACGGCUCACCUAGGCGACGAUCCCUAGCUGGUCUGAGAGGAUGACCA
rnacentral:rRNA from 1 species